rnacentral:misc_RNA from 1 species
AGCAGCCGCGGUAAUUCCAGCUCCAAUAGCGUAUAUUAAAGUUGCUGCAGUUAAAAAGCUCGUAGUUGAAUUUCGGGACUAAUAUGUCGGUCGUGCCUCGGUACGUACUGGCAUUGUUGGUUUCUCCCUUCUGACGAACCAUGAUGUCAUUUAUUUGGUGUCGUGGGAAAUCAGGACUGUUACUUUGAAAAAAUUAGAGUGUUUAAAGCAGGCUCACGCUUGAAUACAUUAGCAUGGAAUAAUGAAAUAGGACGUUUGAUCCUAUUUUGUUGGUUUCUAGGAUCGACGUAAUGAUUAAUAGGGAUAGUUGGGGGCGAUUAGUAUUCAAUUGUCAGAGGUGAAAUUCUUGGAUUUAUUGAAGACUAACUACUGCGAAAGCAUUUGCCAAGGAUGUU